rnacentral:rRNA from 1 species
GCGGUCUCAGUUCGGAUUGAAGGCUGAAAUUCGCCUUCAUGAAGUCGGAAUUGCUAGUAAUGGCAGGUCAGCAUACUGCCGUGAAUACGUUCCCGGGCCUUGUACACACCGCCCGUCACACCAUGAGAGUUGGGAAUACCCGAAGCCUGUGAGCCAAACAAACGAGGCAGCAGUCGAAGGUAGAAUCAAUGAGUUGGGGUGAAGUCGUAACAAGGUAAC